GACGAACGCUGGCGGCGUGCUUAAUACAUGCAAGUCGAGCGAGUGGCGGACGGGUGAGUAAUGUAUGGGGAUCUGCCUUAUAGAGGGGGAUAACUACUGGAAACUGUGGCUAAUACCGCAUACUAUCGGAUGAACCCAUAUGGGAUUAGGUAGUGGGUGGGGUAAAGGCUCACCUAGCCGACGAUCUCUAGCUGGUCUGAGAGGAUGAUCAGCCACACUGGGACUGAGACACGGCCCAGACUCCUACGGGAGGCAGCAGUGGGGAAUAUUGCGCAAUGGGGGCAAGCCUGAUGCAGCCAUGCCGCGUGUGUGAAGAAGGCCUUAGGGUUGUAAAGUACUUUAAGUGGGGAGGCGUUACCAGCAGAAGAAGCACCGGCUAACUCCGUGCCAGCAGCCGCGGUAAUAC
rnacentral:rRNA from 1 species